CACUGUGAUGAAAAGCAGAGGAGGCUGCACCAGACUGACCAGAGAACGUUGUAGCAAAAGACCUCCCAGCACCAUCUGGAU
rfam:Lupinus angustifolius cultivar Tanjil chromosome LG07, whole genome shotgun sequence.